rnacentral:misc_RNA from 1 species
UAGGGCUUUCAUUCCUUUGGGCCAUCUGUUAUACUUAGGUUAAUUAUUCGUUGUUCGAUCAGAUUCAUGCAAGAGAAGAUGUUACGUAAGAUGUCGUCUUGAUGGAACUUGAAAAGAGCAAGAAUAGUAAUACAAUGUGGAUUUCCCACGCAGGAGGUUUUUGUAUCAUGGUUGAAGGUACAGUAAAAUGGUUUAACGCAGAAAAAGGUUUUGGAUUCAUCGAGGUAGAAGGUCAAGACGACGUCUUCGUACACUUCUCUGCAAUUCAAGAAGAAGGUUUCAAAUCUCUUGAAGAAGGUCAGGUUGUAACUUUCGAAAUCGAAGAAGGACAACGCGGACCACAAGCAGCAAACGUUCAAAAAUAAGAACGUACGAAAACUCCCCUUUCACAGGGGAGUUUUUUU